UACGAAGGGGGCUAGCGUUGCUCGGAAUCACUGGGCGUAAAGGGCGCGUAGGCGGCGUUUUAAGUCGGGGGUGAAAGCCUGUGGCUCAACCACAGAAUGGCCUUCGAUACUGGGACGCUUGAGUAUGGUAGAGGUUGGUGGAACUGCGAGUGUAGAGGUGAAAUUCGUAGAUAUUCGCAAGAACACCGGUGGCGAAGGCGGCCAACUGGACCAUUACUGACGCUGAGGCACGAAAGCUAGGGGAGCAAACAGG
rnacentral:rRNA from 1 species